rnacentral:rRNA from 1 species
AAGUCGUAACAAGGUUUCCGUAGGUGAACCUGCGGAAGGAUCAUUAACGAGUUUUUGAAAGGGGUUGUCGCUGGCCAAAAACAAAGGCAUGUGCACACCCUGCUCAAUCCACUCUCAAACCCCUGUGCACUUAUUGUAGGCUAUGGUGGGAUAGCUGACUUCAGUCAGUUGGAAAGCCUUGCCUAUGUUUAUUACAAACUCUUCAGUUUAAGAAUGUCAUACCGCGUUUAACGCAUUGAAUACAACUUUUAGCAACGGAUCUCUUGGCUCUCGCAUCGAUGAAGAACGCAGCGAAAUGCGAUAAGUAAUGUGAAUUGCAGAAUUCAGUGAAUCAUCGAAUCUUUGAACGCACCUUGCGCUCCUUGGUAUUCCGAGGAGCAUGCCUGUUUGAGUGUCAUGAAAUUAUCCACUUCUGAAACUUYUGUGACAGAAGCUGGGAUGUGGAGGUCGUGUUGGCUUGCGAAAGUCAACUCCUCUGAAAUGCAUUAGCGUGAACCUUACGGAUCGCCUUCAGUGUGAUAAUUAUCUGCGCUGUGGUGUGAAGUAUUUUGUGUUCUUGCUUCUAACUGUCCGCGAGGACAAACAAACUUGACCAUCUGACCUCAAAUCAGGUAGGACUACCCGCUGAACUUAAGCAUAUCAAUAAGCGGAGGAAAAGAAACUAACAAGGAUUCCCCUAGUAACUGCGAGUGAAGCGGGAAAAGCUCAAAUUUAAAAUCUGGUAGUCUUUGGCUGCCCGAGUUGUAGUCUGGAGAAGUGUCUUCCGCG